AAUAGAUACCCUGGUAGUCCACGCAGUAAACGAUGCAGACUAGGCGUGGGGGGACUUGACCCCCUCCGUGCCGCAGCCAACGCGUGAAGUCUGCCGCCUGGGGAGUACGGCCGCAAGGCUAAAACUCAAAGGAAUUGACGGGGGGCCCGCACAAGCGGCGGAGCGUGCGGUUUAACUCGACGCAACGCGCAGAACCUUACCAGGACUUGACAUGCACCUGCAGAGCCGUGAAAGCGGUUGGCCUUCGAGGGUGGUGCACAGGUGCUGCAUGGCUGUCGUCAGCUCGUGUCGUGAGAUGUUGGGUUAAGUCCCGCAACGAGCGCAACCCUCGUGGCUAGUUGUCGAUGUUUCUAGCCAGACUGCCGGUAGCAAGCCGGGGGAAGGUGGGGAUGACGUCAAGUCAGCAUGGCCCUUACGGUCCUGGGCUACACGCACGCUACAAUGGCCGGGACAAUGGGCAGCCAAACCGCAAGGUGGAGCGAAUCCCACAAACCCGGGUCUCAGUUCAGAUCGCGGACUGCAACUCGGCCCGG
rnacentral:rRNA from 1 species